rnacentral:rRNA from 1 species
CCUACGGGAGGCAGCAGUGAGGAAUAUUGGUCAAUGGACGAGAGUCUGAACCAGCCAAGUAGCGUGAAGGAUGACUGCCCUAUGGGUUGUAAACUUCUUUUAUAAAGGAAUAAAACAAGGCACGCGUGCCGUUUCGCAUGUACUUUAUGAAUAAGCAUCGGCUAACUCCGUGCCAGCAGCCGCGGUAAUACGGAGGAUCCGAGCGUUAUCCGGAUUUAUUUGGUUUAAAUGGGUCGGAGAUGGGUUGUUAAGUCAGUUGUGAAAGUUUGCGGCUCAACCUUAAAAGUGCAAUUGAUACUGGCCGUCUUGAGUACAGUUGAGGUAGGCGGAAUUCGUGGUGUAGCGGUGAAAUGCUUAGAUAUCACGAAGAACCCCGAUUGCGAAGGCAGCUUACUAACCUGUGACUGACAUUGAUGCUCGAAAGUGUGGGUAUCAAACAGGAUUAGAUACCCUAGUAGUC